rnacentral:lncRNA from 1 species
UGAAACACAAAGAAAUCUGGAGAAACAGUGACUUAUAUUAAGAAAAACAAUUUUAACUUACUAUUUGCAGGAGCAGUGGGGAGCAAAUAUUAGAUGUGUGGUCAUAUCAAAAAAGAAUAUUAAAUUCUAUCUUAUAAAGCUGGAGCAAUCACAACAUGUAGUUGAGACUUUUUUUAAAAGGCACAAAAGACAAUAAAAGACUGAAAAGAAAAUUAAAUUGAUAUUAUAUCUUCUGAGUCUGUGGACAUGGCCAACUGUGCACGGUGCAGCAGGAGCUGGAGGGGAUGGGCACUGUGUCAGCAUGAAAGAGGACCAAAAAGAAGGAUAAAGAGGAGAGAAGAAGGUGGAGAAGGAAAGAAAGAAAUCAAGAGGAGGAAUAGAGAGGAGGAAGAGAAGGAAGGAGAAGGAGAACAAGAAAGAAGAAAGAAGGGAAUUUCCACAAAUAAUAUCCAGUGACCUGAGCUUGAAACACUCAGGAGUAACUCAGCCAAAUUGCUCUCCCUGGGAGUCAAGGGAGAAGCAUAAGGGUGGCAAUGAGGAAGGUAAGGUAUAGUAUUACUGUUGAAUAUAAAACAAAGGGGACAAUGUGUAAGUUGGAUUGUUAAAAUAUAUAGUCAAUGCUUUUAGUGAUGAAAGCAAAAGUAUGAUAAUCUAUUAUAAAAGUUUCUUUUUUUGCCCAUUGCUAUCAAAUGGCAUACUAAUUAGAAAGCAAAAUCAUGGUGAAGUGCAUUGUUUACAAAACAUGUAACAAUUUAAAUUAUAGUACAUAUAAAUUCUUAAAUACUG